CGGGCAGAUCACGUUGAAACACCGUUUCCCGUACGAUCACCGAAGUUAAGCAAUGCCAAGGCUGGUCAAUACCUAGAUGGGUGACUGAUCGGGAAUACCAGGUGCCGUAAG